rnacentral:sRNA from 1 species
AACAAAGAAGAAAAACAUGACAUAGUUGUAGAAGAAUA